rnacentral:rRNA from 1 species
GAUGAACGCUGGCGGCGUGCCUAAUACAUGCAAGUCGAGCGAACGGACGAGAAUCUUGCUUUUCUGAUGUUAGCGGCGGACGGGUGAGUAACACGUGGAUAACCUACCUAUAAGACUGGGAUAACUUCGGGAAACCGGAGCUAAUACCGGAUAAUAUUUUGAACCGCAUGGUUCAAAAGUGAAAGACGGUCUUGCUGUCACUUAUAGAUGGAUCCGCGCUGCAUUAGCUAGUUGGUAAGGUAACGGCUUACCAAGGCAACGAUGCAUAGCCGACCUGAGAGGGUGUUCGGCCACACUGGAACUGAGACACGGUCCAGACUCCUACGGGAGGCAGCAGUAGGGAAUCUUCCGCAAUGGGCGAAAGCCUGACGGAGCAACGCCGCGUGAGUGAUGAAGGUCUUCGGAUCGUAAAACUCUGUUAUUAGGGAAGAACAUAUGUGUAAGUAACUGUGCACAUCUUGACGGUACCUAAUCAGAAAGCCACGGCUAACUACGUG